AGACGUCUACAUUAGAUACCCGCGUAGUCCCAGCCGUAAGCUAUGCGCGUUAGGUGUAUCGGUGACCACGAGUUACCGGGGUGCCGAAGGGAAACCGUGAAACGUGCCGCCUGGGAAGUACGGUCGCAAGGCUGAAACUUAAAGGAAUUGGCGGGGAGCACCACAACAGGUGGAGCCUGCGGUUUAAUUGGACUCAACGCCGGGAAGCUCACCGGAUAGGACAGCAGAAUGAUUGCCGGGCUGAAGACCCUGCAUGACUAGCUG
rnacentral:rRNA from 1 species